GCGCAUCUGUUCGGCUUCUGGGGUUGGCGGAGGUGUACCGCUGGCUGACCAAGCUUGUUCAGGUGCUGGUUUGUGUUGCAGCGGCCUGUGGUCUCCCUGGCUCCAGCCGCCUGCUUGGAAAGUCACGCCCCAUAUUCCUAAACACCGGGCGAACGUCAUGUCGUAUACCCUUUAGCUCCAUUUAAAGCCUUGAAAAGGCCGAGCAGUCUGCCUGAAGUCUCACAUCCCGUACGAGGUAGACCCGAUUCUGAGCCCACGCCCUCAACCCGAAUACACCUUUUCCGGUGCCCUGAGACCUUUUUCUUCUUUUUGAAAUCCACGAAGUUAUUGUUAAACUCUCAUCUCCUGAGAAGCAGAAGCCUCAGUCUCGGGCCAGAGCUUGGCCUGCCGUCGGCUUGGAUCUCUAGGUCUUUGUCCGGGAUCCUGGUUGAGAACAAGAUUGCGCUGGUGCCAUCUGGGACGCCCCAUCUGGGGAGCUCGAGGGGAAGGCCCACGUCACUCUUGAGAGGGCUUUUCCACCCGUGCACCCUCUCACUGCCCUUCACCUUCCUCAGAUAGGCUUUCUGAAACUUUGUCAUUCUCUUGGAAGACCAAGAAAAUGACCACUGUCUGAAGGGCCAGGGAGAUGAGAAUUUCCUAAAAUUCUUUUGUAGCUCUCAGAGGGUGAAUCCAUUCCCUUCUGGUACCCCGAGGCUACAUUAUUUAUUGUGAAUUCAGUUCAGUCCUGGCUCCGGAGACAUGUCCAGUGUCAAUUGGAUUCAUCCCUCAACAUCAUUCUCUGCCUCAUGAGUCAGUCAUCACCAAGAAAUUAGUUGUUAAUACACAUAAAGGUUCAGAACAACAAUGCAGGGAUGCCUGUGUUCAAGUGUUCACUUGUGCUGGCUGUACAAUAAAGACACAGAUGGCUGACAUCUCUUAAGCCUGGAAAUGAAGACUUACAGGAUGAGGUGCUGCCUGAGGAAUUAGGCAAGAUGAGGAGUUGGAAGAACACAGACGAGUAAGGAAGAGUGUAGGAAGUGUGAACAGAAUCUCAGGGUCUGAGCCACUGGGUGGACUGUCAUGACCACAGUGAGAUUUUCAGCAGCACGUGGUCUUGCAGCCAGCUGACUUGCAUAUAGACAGGGAUGCUAGAUGUCCACCGUCUAGAUGUACAGCUCUGUCAUACAGAUAUUUGGUGUGUCCAGCCUCCAGUUUCAUCUUUGACAGACCUCAGCAUUUAAUAAUUAGGAGUUUCCAUCUAGAAAUCUGGAUUGCCUGCUUUCUAAAACACUCUUUGCUGCCAUGUCCUCUUUUUCUCCUGGCAUUUCCCACCCACUCCAUGCCAUACCUCAUCUGGAAUACCCUUAGCUCCUCUGAAUCCAUCUGGUCCUUCAAGACCAAAUACCUAGCUCUCUUUCGUGAAACCUUCCCUGAUCACUAUACUAUAGUGACUACUUGAGACUCUUCUAACCCUG
rnacentral:lncRNA from 1 species